AAGUAAAAGUAAAUGGAAGUCUUGCGAGCGACGCGGCAUCUCUUAACUUUCAGACGCGCAACAAACGGCCACAAAGUGCACGGGUCGUUCAAGGACAGCUGCAGCUUUUAAUGCAUAGGACACGGAUCAUAUAGGAAGCUGUUGCGUUUACCGAGGGAUGGAGACACUCGACGCCUGCCAGACAGCAGGUGCCAGGAUGCAGGAUGUUGAUAUCAUGGAUCUGCCCCUCUCCCCUCCGCCUGAGGUUGAAGACAUUCUGUCAGAAUUAGACCUGGAGGCCAUUCUGGAACAUUUGGAUCUUCAUUUGGAGUUCAAUGACUCGUUGUUUGACCUGGACUGUGAUGUGGACAUACAGAGUGGUAAGGAGUUU